rnacentral:tRNA from 6 species
GUAGGCAUAGUUUAAUAAAAACGUUAGAUUGUGAAUCUAAUAAUAAAAGUUCAAACCUCUUUGCUUACC